rnacentral:tRNA from 1 species
GGUGAGGUGGCCGAGUGGCCGAAGGCGCACGCCUGGAAAGUGUGUAACGGGUAACCGUUCGAGAGUUCGAAUCUCUCCCUCACCGCCA